CUGGUGAGUGGCGACCCCUUCUCGGCCCGCACCCGCAGUCCCAGCGCUUUGGGGAAUCCGGAUGUCGCCUCGGCCAACAGCCCUGCCCGCUGGAUCCGCGACAGCCUCUGGGGGCUCCCAACGGGGCACAGCUCGGCCGCGCGCGCUUCCGCGGCCGAAGUUCCCAGCCGCCGGGGGUGGGGGGAGCCAACGCCCCUUCGCCAUCCCUCCAGCUGCUCUGUGCGACCCCGAGCCCCCGUGUGUGUGUGUGUGUGUGUGUGUGUGUGUGUGUGUGUGCGUGCGUGUGUCCGAGCGCGCUGAAGGGGGAAGGAGGUGGCCAAGGGGUCUGGAGCGUCGGGGCAGGUGCCUGGGAGCUACUGGAAGUGGCUGGUAGGGGAACAAAAGCCUUCCGGCUGCGAAGGGGGGGGCGGUCACCAGGCCUGGGAAGUCCAAGUUCCCAGGGCCCCGGCGUCCACCCAAGUAGGAAGGUGUGUGUGGCUCCCGAGUGAGCGUGUAAAGAGCAUGUGCAAGGGUGUGUGGGUGUGCGUGCGUUCCCUUUCCAAAGCCAGCACCGGGCAACGAAUGAGCAGCCGGAGUUCCCAGUUGAGUUCCUUUUCUGAGGCCUGACAGCCCCUGGAGGCCCCUGGUGCUGGUCACUGCGCUGGAGCGGCAGGUGUUCGACUUCCUGGGCUACCAGUGGGCGCCCAUCCUGGCCACCUUCACCCACAUCGUCGUGGUCGUCCUGGGCCUCUUCGGCACCAUCCAGUACCGGCCCCGCUACGUCGUGGUGUACGCUGUGUGGGCAGUCGCCUGGAUCACCUGGAACGCCUUCAUCAUCUGCUUCUACCUGGAGGUAGGGGGCCUCUCCAAGGACAGCGAGCUCCUGACCUUCAACCUCUCCAGGCACCGCUCCUGGUGGCGUGAGCAUGGCCCAGGCUGUGUGCGCAAGGAGCCGGCAGCCGGCUUGGGCCCCCCGGGUGGCCAGGCCCUGGUGCCAGGCAUCAGCUGCGCCCUGGAGCACAGCUACGUGGAGGCCCUGCACAGCGCCCUGCAGAUCCUGGUGGCGCUCGUGGGCUUUGUCUGUGCCUGCUCUGUGGUCAGCGCUUUCACGGAGGAGGAGGACAGCUUUGAUUUCAUUGGUGGAUUUGAUCCAUUUCCUCUCUACCAUGUCAAUGAAAAGCCUUCCAGGCUCUUGUUCCAGCAGACAUCCCUGCCUGCGUAAGUAAGAGCAGCCAUUGCCCUCCUGCGACCUCUGGCCUCGGCGACCCGCCGCACACGAGGAGACGCCAGGCAGCAGGACUCCCUGCGCCUUCCCGCCCCACGGCCCUGCAGGUGCCCCAGCAAGUGACCAGAUGUGAGCCAGGGCGGCAGAGUGGCCCGGGGCUGGAGUGGCGGCACCCUCGAAAGAGCUUGUUUCCCUUUUCUAAAAAAAAAUGAAAAGAAAAGACACAAGAAAAAACCU